AAGGGCGCAUGGCGGAUGCCUUGGCUCUCGGAGGCGAUGAAGGACGUGAUAAGCUGCGAUAAGCUUUGGGGAGGUGCAAAUGACCUUUGAUCCAGAGAUUUCCGAAUGGGACAACCCAAUAUCUUGAAGAGGUAUUAUCCAACGUUGUUGGAGGCUAACGCAGGGAACUGAAACAUCUUAGUACCUGCAGGAAAAGAAAAUAAACAAUGAUUCCCCCAGUAGUGGCGAGCGAACGGGGAACAGCCCAAACCAUCCAUGUUACGGCAUGGGUGGGGUUGUAGGACUACGCCGUUGCAUGAAGACAUCAGAGAAGAACUUUCUGGAAAGAAAGACCAUAGAGCAUGACAGUUGCGUAUUCGAAUGUUGUCGAAGCAUAGUAGUAUCCUGAGUAGCGCGGAGCACGAGGAAUUCUGCGUGAAUCUGCCGGGACCAUCCGGUAAGGCUAAAUACUCCCGAGAGACCGAUAGCGAACCAGUACCGUGAGGGAAAGGUGAAAAGCACUUCGAACAGAAGAGUGAAAUAGUUCCUGAAACCGUGCGCCUACAAGCGGUCGGAGCUCGUUAAUGAGUGACGGCGUGCCUUUUGCAUAAUGAACCUACGAGUUGCCUUUGCCGGCAAGGUUAAGUGUGACGACACACGUAUCCGAAGCGAAAGCGAGUCUGAACAGGGCGUAUAGUCGGCAGUGGCAGACGCGAAACCAAGUGAUCUACCCUUGGCCAGGUUGAAGGCUGGGUAACACCAGCUGGAGGACCGCACCAAUAAGCGUUGAAAAGCUUCUGGAUGAGCUGAGGGUAGGGGUGAAAGGCUAAUCAAACUUGGAGAUAGCUCGUACUCCCCGAAAUGCAUUUAGGUGCAGCCUUGCGGGUUACUGAUGUGAGGUAGAGCGACUGAUAAGAUGCGAGGGCUUCACCGCCUAUCAAGUCUUGACAAACUCCGAAUGCGCAUCAGUUCUACCGCAGGAGUGAGGGCAUGGGUGCUAAGGUCCGUGCCCGAGAGGAGAAGAAUCCGGACCACCUGCUAAGGUCCCGAAAUGACAGCUAAGUUAAACUAACGAAGUCUGACUGCUAAGACAGCUAGGAUGUUGGCUUGGAAGCAGCCAUUCAUUUAAAGAGUGCGUAACAGCUCACUAGUCGAGGAGUCGGGCGUGGAUAAUAAUCGGGUAU
rnacentral:rRNA from 1 species